ensembl:snoRNA
CUGCAUGAUGGAACUUCACCAUUCUUCUGUUUCUCCAGGAGAAUGAAUAUUCCUUCAGUGCUAUAAAAUGAGGAGUUUUCAGGGCCACCAGCCUUCAAGUAGAGUCUGAGUGGUAGUAUAUUUCUUCUACAAAA